rnacentral:rRNA from 1 species
UACGUAGGGACCAAGCGUUGUUCGGAUUUACUGGGCGUAAAGGGCGCGUAGGCGGCAUGACAAGUCACUUGUGAAAUCUCUGGGCUUAACUCGGAACGGUCAAGUGAUACUGUCGCGCUAGAGUGCGGAAGGGGCAAUCAGAAUUCUUGGUGUAGCGGUGAAAUGCGUAGAUAUCAAGAGGAAUACCUGAGGUGAAGACGGGUUGCUAGGCCGACACUGACGCUGAAGCGCGAAAGCCAGGGGAGCAAACGGG